AACGAACGCUGGCGGCAGGCUUAACACAUGCAAGUCGAGCGCCUCGCAAGAGGAGCGGCAGACGGGUGAGUAACACGUGGGAACGUGCCCUUUGGUUCGGAACAACACAGGGAAACUUGUGCUAAUACCGGAUAAGCCCUUACGGGGAAAGAUUUAUCGCCAAAGGAUCGGCCCGCGUCUGAUUAGCUAGUUGGUGGGGUAACGGCCCACCAAGGCGACGAUCAGUAGCUGGUCUGAGAGGAUGAUCAGCCACACUGGGACUGAGACACGGCCCAGACUCCUACGGGAGGCAGCAGUUAGGAAUCUUGGACAAUGGGCGCAAGCCUGAUCCAGCCAUGCCGCGUGAGUGAUGAAGGCCCUAGGGUUGUAAAGCUCUUUCAGCGGGAAGAUAAUGACGGUACCGCAGAAGAAGCCCCGGCUAACUUCGUGCCAGCCGCCGCUGUAAC
rnacentral:rRNA from 1 species